AGAGCCCUUUGUCGACUCUUUGGCUCUUGCAAUAUCCAGAGGAAAGGCGUCCUCACUGAUCUUCCACUGGGGAAGCCGAGACCCCAGGAGGGUCAGUCUCUGUUGGAGUCAGUCAGGUCGAGGAGUCACCAGAUGUGACAGGAAAAGAGGCUUGUGCAGAGAGCUGGGGCCAUUCUUCUGACAUCUUCAGUUCCUCCUUCCCUUCCUCCAUCUUGCUGCCCGCAUGCCCCUCCUUCAAGAAUGCUUUUCAUGGUUGUCAGCCUACUCCACAGUGCUAGUGGGCCUGGUAGCUUACCCGGCACCCCAGCCAUGGAAGAUGGAGACAGAACCCAGCAGAACAGACUGGACAGGAAGACAUGUCAGCAGCUCUGGGUUGGACUGAGACUCCGCCUCAAAGAAUAAGGCAGAAGAGUGUCAGGAUGAUUCCAGACAGCAACCUCAAGGCUCUACAUGCAUGAACACACAAGCUCUGCCAGAAUGUAUGCAUACCAUGUACACAUGCGGGCCCCCAUGCAAGCAUGCAUACCCACAAGCACACAUGCCACACACAUGAAACAAAAAACAAAA
rnacentral:lncRNA from 1 species